CUACGGGACGCAGCAGUGGGGAAUAUUGCACAAUGGGCGCAAGCCUGAUGCAGCAACGCCGCGUGAGGGAUGAAGGCCUUCGGGUUAUAAACCUCUUUUAGCAGGGAAGAAGCGAAAGUGACGGUACCUGCAGAAAAAGCACCGGCUAACUACGUGCCAGCAGCCGCGGUAAUACGUAGGGUGCAAGCGUUGUCCGGAAUUAUUGGGCGUAAAGAGCUCGUAGGCGGUUUGUCACGUCUGCUGUGAAAAUCCAAGGCUCAACCUUGGACUUGCAGUGGGUACGGGCAGGCUAGAGUGCGGUAGGGGGGAUGGGAAUUCCUGGUGUAGCGGUGGAAUGCGCAGAUAUCAGGAGGAACACCAAUGGCGAAGGCACAUCUCUGGGCCGUAACUGACGCUGAGGAGCGAAAGCGUGGGGAGCGAACAGGAUUAGAUACCCGCGUAGUC
rnacentral:rRNA from 1 species